GGCUGAUGCUGCUCACCUCAACCAGGGAUGGCUCAGGAGCAGCUUCUGGGGCUGGGCAUCCUGGGAGAGAAGAACCUGGAGAGCCACCACCACCUCCUGCUUCCGAGCAUCAUUUGCAGCUCAGGAGAGCUCGUUGAGAAGCUGGGCGUGUUAAUAAGGCAGAGCACGCAGGCGUUUGCAAUUCACCAGAUCAUUCACAAGUUACCUCCAACCCAACCUUGUCAUUGCAAUUCGUCACACUUACAGUGGAUGCUUUUAUGUGCUGCAUCUCGCCCGAGUCUCAUCACGCCAGGCCAGUGCCACAGGCUACGAGACAACAACAAAGAUCUCAAGCGUGGUUUAAAAGGUAGCACUAUAAAAGAGGGGGAAUAAUGGCUGCAAUCACUGCUAGAUGUCCUGUUCCCACAGAUCCUGCAGCCUUCCCUUGAUUUCAGACCAAAGCUGAGUAGUAGGAACGACUGCCUUCCCCACUGCCACCUUAAACCUGAUUUAUCCGGCACCCUCAGCGUGGAGAAGCCCUGGCAUGGUAUUUCUGGAGGGAAUACACUGGGCACAGUUCCAUUGUGAAAAAUGCUGGAGGAGGCUCUCCCUAAUCACCUUUUGGCUGAUGCUCUGUGGGAAUUGGGGUGGUGUUAUGAAUGGACCUCUAGCUGUGCAGAGUUCCCAGCUUUGCUGCGGGUUUCUGGGGUGUCCUUGGACAAACCAUCAAAGGUUGUUUUAUCUCUUGUUGUAAGCAGCGAAGUUAUGCUAUUCCUUAAAGGAAAAAAAAAAAAGUGAGAACAAAAUAGAUCUGCUUUUCCUCUGUUCUUCAUCUGGAAAAUGCAGCUCAUAAUUUUUUCAUAAUCCUUCCCCAUCUGGUUUCUAGAUACUGGAAUUUGUGCCUUAGCAUGGUUUCAUACAGUCCCUAACAUAAUGGUUUCUCAGUCUCAGGGAUGGCCCUCAGGUUACAGGAACUUUAUGGUGAUUUCUGUCAAGAGAUGCUGCUGCACUUCCAAGUGCCCUCUGUGGAGACUUAAGGCCUGUGCACCACUUCCUCUCCUGGAGUCUCCAGUUCUUAUUUCCUUUUGUGGCACUGGGUAAACUUUUGUUUUCUGUCAGCCUGGGUUAGUUCUGGUAAUGAUUUGGUUGCAAAUACACCCGUGUGAGUUUUGGCACAAAGCAUGUGCAAGCCUUAGCAUGGAAGACUGCAAUUCCAAGCCAAGGAGCAGCUGCCUUGAGGUUCUCUCUUAAAUUUCUCCUUUCAGUCACUAGAACUGUGCUGAAGCUGCUUUCUCCAGAUUGCAAUAAAUUCCUGUCUCUGGAGAAAGACA
rnacentral:lncRNA from 1 species